GGGCCCGUAGCUUAGUCUGGUAGAGCGCCUGGCUUUUAACCAGGCGGUCGAGGGUUCGAAUCCCUUCGGGCCCG
rfam:Methanococcus voltae A3, complete genome.